rnacentral:rRNA from 1 species
GCGAGUGAAGCGGCAAAAGCUCAAAUUUGAAAUCUGGCACUUUCAGUGUCCGAGUUGUAAUUUGUAGAAGUAGUUUUGGGACUGGUCCUUAUCUAUGUUUCUUGGAACAGGACGUCAUAGAGGGUGAGAACCCCGUAUGAUGAGGCCCCCAGUCCUUUGUAAAACGCUUUCGAAGAGUCGAGUUGUUUGGGAAUGCAGCUCUAAGUGGGUGGUAAAUUCCAUCUAAAGCUAAAUAUUGGCGAGAGACCGAUAGCGAACAAGUACAGUGAUGGAAAGAUGAAAAGAACUUUGAAAAGAGAGUGAAAAAGUACGUGAAAUUGUUGAAAGGGAAGGGCAUUUGAUCAGACAUGGUGUUUUGCGCCCUUUGCUCCUUGUGGGCGGAGGAUACGCAGCUCACUGGGCCAACAUCAGUUUUGGGAGCAGGAUAAAUCUGUAGGAACGUAGCUUUCUUCGGGAAGUGUUAUAGCCUAUGGGAAUACUGCUACCUGGGACUGAGGACUGCGUCUUUUGACAAGGAUGUUGGCAUAAUGGUUAAAUGCCGCCC